rnacentral:rRNA from 1 species
AUUGAACGCUGGCGGCAGGCCUAACACAUGCAAGUCGAGCGAGUGGCGGACGGGUGAGUAAUGCUUGGGAAUCUAGCUUAUGGAGGGGGAUAACUACGGGAAACUGUAGCUAAUACCGCAUACCCUCAGAUGAACCCAUAUGGGAUUAGCUUGUAGGUGAGGUAACGGCUCACCUAGGCGACGAUCCCUAGCUGGUCUGAGAGGAUGAUCAGCCACACUGGGACGGAGACACGGCCCAGACUCCUACGGGAGGCAGCAGGGGGGAAGAUUGCACAAUGGGCGCAAGCCUGAUGCAGCCAUGCCGCGGGUAUGAAGAAGGCCUUAGGGUUGUAAAGUACUUUCAGCGGGGAGGCGUUACACGCAGAAGAAGCACCGGCUAACUCCGUGCCAGCAGCCGCGGUAAUUC